CAGAGACCAUGCCCUUCGGGGUAGACCUCCCACCCUGUGUUAUUUACUCUUGUUGCUUUGGCAGGCCGCCUUCGGGCUCCCGGCUCCGGCUGGGGCGCGCCUGCCAGAGGACCCCAUAUUCUAAAUGUUUACAUGUCGUCUGAGAAAUAUAUAAUAAGUUA
rnacentral:misc_RNA from 1 species